UACGUAGGGGGCAAGCGUUGUCCGGAUUUACUGGGCGUAAAGAGCGCGCAGGCGGUCGUUCAAGUCGAGUGUGAAAGCCCCCGGCUCAACUGGGGAGGGUCACUCGAUACUGAUCGACUCGAAGGCAGGAGAGGGAAGUGGAAUUCCCGGUGUAGUGGUGAAAUGCGUAGAUAUCGGGAGGAACACCAGUGGCGAAGGCGACUACCUGGCCUGUUCUUGACGCUGAGGCGCGAAAGCUAGGGGAGCAAACGGG
rnacentral:rRNA from 1 species